UUUGGAGAGAGAAAAUAUUUUCAGAACUUAAGAGAACUAAAACAGAGAAUAAGAAAAGACUGAGAGUUGAAAAGAGUAGAAAGCUGAAAGCCCCACUGUUCAUUUGAAACUUCUCUUCUUGCUUUAUUGAUUUUAUUUCUCUUGAUUCAAGUAAACUAAGACCGAUCUUAAGUAACUCUAGUAUGUCUUUGUUCAUUUGGCUUGUGUUGAUAUUGCUGUGAGUCGAAGUACAUUUCUGUGGGAUUUUUCUGGGUUGAUUUUUACUGGGUUUUGCUGAAAUCUGCUGCUGGGUUUAGCUAUUGAUGUUGCUGUUUUGCUGUAUUGAUUACUGCCUUGCUGAUUUCUCACCUUCUGCCUUUUGCUUCUAAUAUCAGGUACACAACUGGUACACCUUGUAAGUUGAUAACAUGAAGCAUGAAUACAAAUGAAGAGUUGAAGUUUUAAUUUUAUUUAGUUUUGUUAGUGAAUGUAUUUAGGCCACUUUAUAUGCAAUUUUUAUAUAAGUUUCUACCAUGUUCGUAUGACGGGAUAACUUGUAGUGAUGUAUUAAAUAAUAUUCUGCUUUAAUUUGGUCAUUAUAUAAUAUAUGUUCAAGCAUGUUUAUUACUGUCAAACUGUUUAAUAAUUGAGGAAAUAGUAUGAGUUGAUCUUUACUGAAUUGGCUUGGUCAAAUUGUUCAAUUCACUAGUUAAUCGCAAACAUGUAGCUAAAUUUUUGUAAGGUUUUAAUUUGAAUUAAUUUUGUGAAUUAGGCAUUAAGGUAUGAUUUGAGUUCAGAUAAGAUGGUUUAACAUUUCGAUUUAAUAAACUUUCAAAUAAGCAUUAAUAAUUAAGGUUGAUUUUAAUUUUAAUAGUUGUAAAUAAUUAAUGGUUUAUUUAUAUAACUAUUUGGGUUUUAAUUUAGCUAUAAUUGAUUUCUUUUGAAUAUUAGUUGUGGAAUUUCGUAUUUUAUUUAUAAUUUCAAAAUUUUUAUUUUAUUUUAUUUAUAAUUUCGAAUUUCUUUUCUUUUUUAGUAAAAUUCUUUUCCAUUAAUAUUUGCCUUAAUUUAUCAAUUAGUGUGUUACGUUUUUUUAUUUUUAUGCGUGUAGUUAAUUAGAAUUUUUUUCUUCUAAUUUAGAGACGAACUUAAUAGAAAAAAUGUAGUCACCUUAUGAUUGCCCUUUUAAAAUAAAUGAGGCGAGAUUCUCCGAAUAAAUAAAUUGCGGGGCCCUCAUUAAAUAUUUAAAAAUAUCUAAAAAAAUUGGGAAGGGUCGUUUAGCGAAUCUCACGACCCGCCAAAAAGAUUAGAACUCGCUAGACUCUCUUUAGGACGCGCCUUAAUUAAUCUUACCUCCCUAAACUCGGGUGUGCAUUUAUGCGACCCAAAUCCAAAUCUUGAUAGAGUCGAAAUGUGUCGACAACCACGGAUACACUAGCUGUGACGUGGUCCGAGAUAUCUUUUCACAAUGUUGCUAUUCUGUGUAAAUAAUAACAAUAACAAUUAAAUAAAACCAGAAAAAAGUAAAAUUGGCAUGCAUGCUCAUCAUGUAAUAAAAUCGGAUAAAUAAGUUAAAUAUGACAGUUGAGCGACCGUACUAGAACCACGAAGCCCGGGAAUGCCCAACACCUUCUCUCGGGUUAACAGAAUUUCUUAUCCGGAUUUCUGGUUCGCGGACUGUUAGACAGAGUCAAUCUUUUCCUUAUUUCGGGAUUCAACCGGUGACUUGGGACACCAUAAAUCUCCCAAGUGGCAGCUCAGAUUCUUUAAUAAAUAAUCCCGUUUCAAUUGUCUUUUGAUUGGAAAAACUCCAUUGCGCCCUCGCGGUGCGGAAAAAGGAGGUGUGACAGCUCUGACGACUCUGCUGGGAUUGGACCCAGAACCACUAGUUCAGGGUUAGAAAUUCGAGCUUAUGAUAAACUGUUAUAAUUUUGCUUUGUUAUCUGAUAUUUUCAUGUGAUAUGUGCUUAAUGUGCGAAAUGAUGUUUUUUAACUGCUUUGAUAUUAUUUGAUUGUAUAUAUAAACUGUGUCGAACCCUUCUUUCUUCACCUCCGAGGAUGUGCUUACUAGGUGAGACUCCCUAUUCUGUUAGUGUCAUAUCCUGAAAUAAAAGAGGCUCGGAAAGUUUCUAAACCGGCUGGCCUUUUGGUUCCCGGAAUGUAGCUCCUUCCUCGACUCGGGUUGUCCGCUCGGGUACACUGUCUAGAACAUAUACCCAGGAUUUGAACAUAGUAAAACGUGACUUCAUGCCAGAUCCCUAAUAGGAAUGCUUAUUUGCAUCAUCUUGCAUUUGACUUAGGGACUCAACACACGGGUUGCGUCCGUCUAGGUUAAGCAACCUGAAGUAAAAAGACAAUCCUGCUGCGUCCUGUUUGUUUUCUGCAUUUAUUUGCUUCAGACUGGCAUGCUGACCGGCUUUGAAUACUGGAAAAUUGUGAAAAGAAAAAUAAAAAAAACUAGCAGUGUAGAGUGUUAAUUACAUAUUUUUUAGAAAAUCAAUUUCCAAAUAGUGGCGGAACUCUACCAAAAUUUUUGAAAAAAAAGGAGUUGUUUUUAGUUUGAUUUAUUUGGAAAAAAAAAGAGAGUCCUUAUUGUUGGAUUUUCUUGUUUUCAAAGAGUCUUUAUUUUUAGCUUGAAAAAAUAGGUUGAUUUAUUAUUUGUUGAAAAGAAAAAGAGUAUUUGUUUUAAGUUUGGGAAAAAUAGGUUGUUUUUGUUUUGUUGAAAAUGAAAAGAAAUAAAAGAGUUAUUAUUUUGGCUUGUUUUCAAAAAAAAUAAAAAAGAAAAAAUAGUUUGCUUUGCCAUGAAAAAUGAAAAUGAAAAGAGUCGUGCUUUGAAAGUGAUUUUGUUAUUUGCUGCCAAAAAAUAAAAAUAAAAAGAGUCCUGUUUUAAAAUAGUACAGUUAAUUGGGCGAACUACACCGGUUUGAUUCUCACAGGGUGUGGGAUAAGUAGGCAACCAUCAUCGGGUCCAACCUCUCUUUCUGCAAAAAUCGCCAAAAGAGUGCCAAAAAAUUUAAUUUUUAGACAUAAUUAAGUUGGGUGAUACCGCUUUUGUCAAAUAUAGCCGAAUGUUCCCGAAAGGGAGGCCGGAAGGCUGACUUUGCAUAAACGGCCAUCUCUGGCCAUUAUUUUUUGGAUUUUCGGUCAAUUGACCCACACGGUCUUAGAAUCUUCGUCCCCGAGGCACUGAAAGGCUGUGUUUGCAAAUAUCUGGUUUUCUAUUUUUCAAAAAACAAGAAAAGAGUCGUAAAUAAGUUGGGCGAUGCUGUUUUGUCAAAUAUACCCGAAUGUUUCCGAAAGGGACGCCUGAAGGCUGACCUCGUAUAAACAGCCACCUUUGGGUCAUUUUUAGAUUAUGACCGAUCGACCCACACAUCCUUAAAAUCUUCAUCCCCGAGGCGAUGAAAGGCCGUGUUUGCAAAACCAUUUCUUUUAUAUUAAUUUGAAAAAAAAGAAGAAAAGAGUUAGGGGGGCAAGUGAAUACCAUUUGGAUUUUGGUCAAAAUAAGCCGAGCCAGUUUCGGUAGUGUGUUAAACCGUUCUUGCCAAUAUAGCCUUAGAGUAUCUUUCAAUUGUCGAAAGGCUAUUUUCGUAAGAGAACGGACAAGUUUGUAAAACAAUCCUUCCCGGCCUCAAAAUUCAUGUGUAAUUGAGAAGGGGCUACGUUUGCAAAAAAAUAGUGAUUUGGUUCAAAUUGGCAUAUAGGGGAAGGAAUUUGUCAGUCUGUUUUUUUUAUUUGUAUUUCUUUUGAUUAGGGUAUGCGGGUUGUUUUAUUUUCGAGUCUAUAUGUUGUCUGUUCGUCAGAUUUUGUUAGUUUGAUCAGUUUUUAAACCAUUGUAUUUGAAGUUGGUUUUAUUAUGAAUAUUGAAAAUUCCAAAAAAAUAUUUUGCUGUUAUUCACCUUUUAUUGGUCCGAACUACGCAAUGUCUGAUUCAUGCGGGGUCAUGAUACGUACGCAAUCUCUAUAAGAUUCGACCACACACAUAAAAAAAUGAAAUAAAAAAAAGGAAAAAUAUGUUAUUAAUAAUAAGGACUGACUCACUCCAUUCUAACAUGUUUUGCUUUGAAUUGUGAAUAAAGAAGGGUGGUUGGUUUGUGGUUUUCAAAGUGGUAACUCCUCCCUGCAACGCAAAUGCAAAAGACAAUGGCAUAGAACAACAACUGGUUGAUCUUGAGAACGGGUCGGCAAAAGGAACCCCAAAGCAAUUUGUUAAGAAUGAUAUGAUGAAGACUUGUGAAGUUCCUAAAAUUGUUGAUGCAGAAUUCAGGGGCUAAGACGCUGUGCUUGGUUAUGGGAAAAACACUUCGCCUCUUGGUUAAACGGAGAGGAGCUUGAUGGCUUAGUUUGUUAUCAUUUCUGUUGUUCGGGUUAUUUCAGGGUUAUAAUUCGGAUAUUGUCUUGUAUCAAACCCUCUUAUCCUUCCAUUUUUGCCAUACUGGUUUAUUUAGUUUUGUCCAGGUUUGUUUCAGGGUGUAGUCUAGUUUGUCUUGCUUACUUUGUUAUUCGAACCGUUCCAC
rnacentral:lncRNA from 1 species